rnacentral:rRNA from 1 species
CCUACGGGAGGCAGCAGUGAGGAAUAUUGGUCAAUGGGCGCGAGCCUGAACCAGCCAAGUAGCGUGAAGGAUGACUGUCCUACGGGUUGUAAACUUCUUUUAUCAAGGAACAAAGUGAGGCACGUGUGCCUUUUCGCAUGUACUUUAUGAAUAAGCAUCGGCUAACUCCGUGCCAGCAGCCGCGGUAAUACGGAGGAUCCGAGCGUUAUCCGGAUUUAUUGGGUUUAAAGGGAGCGUAGGUGGGUUGUUAAGUCAGUGGUGAAAGUUUGGGGCUCAACCGUAAAAUUGCAGUUGAUACUGGCAGUCGUGAGUACAGUUGAGGUAGGCGGAAUUCGUGGUGUAGCGGUGAAAUGCUUAGAUAUCACGCAGAACUCCGAUUGCGAAGGCAGCUUACUAAACUGCCACUGACAUUGAUGCUCGAAAGUGUGGGUAUCGAACAGGAUUAGAUACCCGUGUAGUC